GUUACUUAUAUUAAGGGCAGAUGGUGGAUGCCUUGGGACCGGUAGGCGAUAAAGGACGUGGCGUGACUGCGAUAAGCUUCGGGGAGGUGUCGAGCAACCGUUGAUCCGGAGAUUUCCGAAUGGGGAAACCUCACGCGGUAAAACCGCGUGGCUGCCGUAGCGAUACGGUAAGCGCAAACCCGCUGAAGUGAAACAUCUUAGUAAGCGGAGGAAAAGAAACGAUUCUCCUAGUAGCGGCGAGCGAACGGGGAGAAGCCUAAACCUAGAUUCAGCAGCAAUGCUGGAUAUGGGGGUUGCAAGAUAGAGACGCAUCGCAAGAUGGGGAGUACUAGAAAUCAAAACUUCCGUAGCAGAAGACGCCUGGAACGGCGCACCAAAGAGGGUAAUAGUCCCGUACGCGAAACGGGUUUUGAUACUUCUCGUUUCUACUCUUAAGUACCGCGGGAAACGAACGUCCCGUGGGAAUCCGGCCGGACUGUUGGCCAAGGCUAAAUACCUGAUAUCACCGAUAGUGAACCAGUACCGUGAGGGAAAGGUGAAAAGUAGCCCGAUGAGGGCGGUGAAAUAGAACCUGAAACCAUGUCGCCUACAAAGAGUCGGAGCUCCGGUAGCAAUACCGUGAGUGACGGCGUGCUUUUUGCAGAACGAGCCAACGAGUUUCUUUUGUCAGUUUGUCUAAGUGCUUAUGGCACGGAGGCACAGGGAAACCGAGUCCGAAAGGGCGUCUAUGACUGACGGAGGAAGACCCGAAGCCAAUGCGAGCUUGCCAUGGCCAGGAUGAACUUAACAGAAAUGUUGAGGGAGGUCCGAACCCGUGAGCCGUGCAAUACUCUGGGAUGAGCUGUGGCAAGAAGUGAAAAGCUAAUCGAGCUUGGGAAUAGCUGGUUCUCUCCGAAAUAGCUUUCGGGCUAGCGUCAUCUAUGUCUUCUGGAGGUAGAGCUCUGGAAAGAAUAAUCUUGGAGCAAUCCAGAUAUCCUUACCAAACUCCGAAUGCCGGAAGAAUGAGGAUGGCAGUCAGAACAUGGGGGCUAAGCUCCGUGCUCAAAAGGGAAACAGCCCAGAUCUUCAUCUAAGGUCCCUAAAUCAGACUCAGUGUACUUAAGGAGGUGGAAUUCCAAAGAUAGCGAGGAGGUUCGCUCAGAAGCAGCUAUCCUUUAAAAAGUGCGUAACAGCUUACUCGCUCAGGAGUUCCGCGCCGAAGAUUCAUCGGGACUAAAGUCUGAUACCGAAGAUAAGAGCCUCGCUUUCGAGCGGGGCGGUAGGAGAGCGUCUCUAUCGCAGCGAAGCCUGAACGCGAGUGAAGGUGGAGCGAUGGGGAGUGAGAAUGUUGGCAUGAGUAACCGCAAUGACAGUGAAAGCCUGUCACACCGUAAACCCAAGGAUUCCUUGGCAAUGAUAAUCAACCAAGGGUGAGGCGGGCCUUAGUGUUGGACCGAAGGGUUCUACAUGAUGGACAGCAGGUUAAUAUUCCUGCCCUUCCACGUUUUUCUGAAGAGCAACGCAGGAUAGUAUUCUCGGCGAGUUAUUGGAUUCUCGUCUUCUGUCUGAGGAGCGAUCCCAAGACAGAGGGGAAACCAGUCUCUGACGGGUGAACCGAGGUGAGCAUCCUGCCCAGAAACGCUCGUAGGGAUAAAAACGUGGAAACCGUACCGCAAACCAACACAGGUGGGUUGGCGCGAAUAUGCUAAGGUGAACGAGCGAAACUUCUUUAAGGAACUAGGCAAAAAAGUGGUCGUAACUUCGGGAUAUGACCUACCCUGCAGCAAUGCGGGGUCGCAGCGACUGUUUCUCUAGCGACUGUUUACCAAAAACACAGGUCUCUGCUAAACUCGUAAGAGGAUGUAUAGGGGCUGACGCCUGACCAGUGCUGGUGUGUUAACGAUGCCAGUUGCAGGAUUUAUUCUGCAGCCGAGUGUCCGAAGCCCCAGUGAACGUCCGCGGUAACUAUAACCGUGUUAAAGUAGCGUAAUCUCUUGCCGGGUAAGUUCCGGCCCGCAUGAAAGGCGUAACGACUGGAGAACUGUCUCAAAGAAGCGCUCGGUGAAAAUGCAAUACCGGUAAAGAUGCCGGUUACCUGCGGCUAGACGGAAAGACCCCGGAAGCUUUACUGUAGCUUCCUAUUGUCUUACCAUCUUUGAUACGUAGCGUAGCGGGGAGGCUUUGAAGUCGCGUUCUCGGAUGCGAUGGAGCCGUCAAUGAAACACCCGUUUUUAAAGAGGGUAAGACUAAUCCGCCUGAGGCGGAAACAGUGGGUGGUAGGCAGUUUUAGUGGGGCGCUAGCCUCCUAAAGAGUAGCGGAGGCGUUUUAAAGGUAGGCUAUCCGCCAAUGGAAACGGUGGAGGUCGUGCAAAGGCACAAGCCUGCUUUACUGCGAGACGGAUAUGUCGAGCAGUUGGGAAACCAGAACUUAGUGAACCGAUGCGUUGUCACAGAAAACGCAAAGAUCAUCAGACAAAAGUUACUCCGGGGAUAACAGGCUGGUAGAGCCCGCGAGUCCAUAUCUACGGCUCUGUUCGGCACCUCGAUAGACAAAGCCGAAAUGUCGAGGCUAAAGCGACUCAUAACGGAGAAAGCCAUAUAGUAUAACCACAGGCUCACUGAUGGUAUAAUGUACAUAUAUGGUCAACACCGUGGGAAGUUAUGAGACCAAAUAUUGGCACAGAAGGUGGAUCCCUAUCAAGGACUCUGUCAUUCUUUCUUCAGAACAAAAAUCGUUAAUUAUCGGUUCUUUGUUGGGAGAUGGAACGAUGCGAGUAGGAAGAGGAGCUAAGAAUGCAAAUUUCAAAAUCGAGCAUGGAUUACAACAAAAAGAGUAUGUCGAUUGGAAAUAUGCCAUUCUAGCGCCAUUGGUAUUUACCGUUCCUAAAUUGAGUUAUCGGUAUACCGAAGAUAGGAAAAAAUAUCCAAAAUCUUGGUGGUUUCGAACCAUACGACACCCAUUAUUUACUGAAAUCUACGAUAGGUUUUACGUAAAAGAUGGAUAUCGCGCUGGAAGGAAAAUAGUUCCUUUCUCAGCGUAUUCAGAACUUACUCCACUAGCUCUUGCUAUAUGGAUUAUGGAUGAUGGUUCGUAUAACCGAGGAAGAAUGGAUAUAAGUACAUACUCUUUUCUGGAGAAGGAAGUCAUCUUUCUGCAGGAAUGUAUGGAAAAGAAAUUUGGAAUCAGCAUGCGAUACUUCAACGAUAGGGGGAAGGGGUAUCGAAUGUAUGCAAAUCAGGAAGAAAGCAGAAGGUUGAUCCAAAUUAUCCGCCCCUACGUGAUACCUUGUCUUCAAUACAAGGUUGGUCUAUAACCCCGUAACGACUGGAUCUUUGUAUGCCAACAUACAAAGUGAAGAUACCUUGGAUUUUCCAUGGUAUAACACGUCGCUGUCUAAAGAAUUAUCUUUAGGCAAAGGUAUAGUCUACUCUAUUAGUAAUAAUAGGUUUAAGUGGUCGGCUCAUCUUAUCCUGGGGCUGGAAAAGGUCCCAAGGGUUUGGCUGUUCGCCAAUUAAAAAGGUACGUGAGCUGGGUUCAAACCGUCAACAAAGAACCUUUAGACAUUGAGAUCACACGGCGGCUUUCACGAGUAAUCGUGAUUGCAAACCGACUCAUAUCGGUGAAGUCCUAUCUUGUAUGAACAACCUGUCAUAUGAUAGGAUAAUACCGAGGGAAGUCGUAUAUGCUUCAUCAAACACACAAAGCAUAUCUUGCGGGAUUUCUGGAUGGAGACGGAAGUAUUUAUGUGCGUCUGAAACCGAAUCCGACAUAUCGGUACGGAUUUCAGGUGGCGCCAUACAUCGUCCUUUUCCAAUCUCAGAAAAGUCGCAAGAAAUUUGAGAAGAUUUGUUCUCUCAUAGGAUUAGGGCAUUUGCGCGUACGCAAAGACGGAAUUCUGGAAUACAUCAUCAGUAAAAAGGAUGCAUUACAGAAAUUCCUGCGCAUGGUAAGACCUUUUGUAAUUCUGAAGAAUGAACAAGUAAAUCUCAUGUUGGAAAUCUUGGAAAAGAAGGAACGCGUAAAAGGAAAGAAGGAUUUCCAACAGCUUGCAAGUUUGAUUGAACGUUUCCGAGAAUUGAAUUAUUCCAAGAAACGCAAAAAGCGUGUAUUGACCCCGUAGAGACUCAUUCCUUUGUGGAAUGGACGGAAGUUUAAUAUAUUUCCGUAACACGUCGGCAUCCUUUUGAAGGAUGGUGGUAUAGUCCAUACAUUUGGUAACAAGUGAAGUUAAGCGUGAGACAGGUUGGCCCCUAUCUACCGCAGGCGUUUAGAAUCUUGAGGAGAGUUGUUCCUAGUACGAGAGGACCGGAACGAACCAACCUCUGGUGUACCAGUUGUUCCGCCAGGAGCAUCGCUGGGUAGCUAAGUUGGGACAGGAUAAGCGCUGAAAGCAUCUAAGCGCGAAGCCCCCUCCAAGAUGAGGAUUCAUUGAUCCCUCGGAGACUACGAGGUUGAUAGGCUUCAGGUGGAAGCCCCGUAAGGGGUGCAGCCGAGAAGUACUAAUGAUCAACAUAUGCAAUGU
rnacentral:rRNA from 1 species